UACAGAGGGUGCGAGCGUUAAUCGGAGUUACUGGGCGUAAAGGGCGCGUAGGCGGUCAAUUAAAUUGGAUGUGAAAUCCCCGGGCUCAACCUGGGAAUGGCAUCCAAGACUGGUUGACUGGAGUAUUGUAGAGGGUAGUGGAAUUUCCGGUGUAGCGGUGAAAUGCGUAGAGAUCGGAAGGAACAUCAGUGGCGAAGGCGGCUACCUGGACAAAUACUGACGCUGAGGCGCGAAAGCGUGGGGAGCAAACAGG
rnacentral:rRNA from 1 species